rnacentral:rRNA from 1 species
UGGGGAAUCUUGCGCAAUGCGCGAAAGCGUGACGCAGCAACGCCGCGUGGGGGAAGAAGGCCUUCGGGUUGUAAACCCCUUUCAGGAGGGACGAAGCCUCGGCCGUUAAUAGCGGAUCGGGGUGACGGUACCUCCAGAAGAAGCCCCGGCUAACUACGUGCCAGCAGCCGCGGUAAUACGUAGGGGGCAAGCGUUGUCCGGAAUCAUUGGGCGUAAAGCGCGUGUAGGCGGUCCGGUAAGUCGGCUGUGAAAGUCCAGGGCUCAACCCUGGGAUGCCGGUCGAUACUGCCGGACUAGAGAUCGGAAGAGGCGAGUGGAAUUCCCGGUGUAGCGGUGAAAUGCGCAGAUAUCGGGAGGAACACCAAUGGCGAAGGCAGCUCGCUGGGACGUUACUGACGCUGAGACGCGAAAGCGUGGGGAGCAAACAGG